rnacentral:rRNA from 1 species
UACGUAGGGGGGCAAGCGUUGUCCGGAUUUAUUGGGGCGUAAAGAGCGUGUAGGCGGUCAGGUAGGUCCGUUGUGAAAACUCGAGGCUCAACCUCGAGACGCCGAUGGAAACCAUCUGACUAGAGUCCGGAAGAGGCGAGUGGAAUUCCUGGUGUAGCGGUGAAAUGCGCAGAUAUCGAGGAGGAACACCGAGUGGCGAAGGCAGCUGCGGCUGGGACGGUACUGACGCUGAGGCGACGAAGGCGUGGGGAGCAAACAGG